CGCGUAGGCGGCUUGGUAAGUAGGGGGUGAAAUCUCACGGCUCAACUGUGAGGCUGCCUUCUAGACUGCCGAGCUCGAGCACAGUAGAGGCUGGUGGAAUUCCCGGUGUAGCGGUGGAAUGCGUAGAGAUCGGGAAGAACAUCUGUGGCGAAGGCGGCCAGCUGGGCUGUUGCUGACGCUGAUGCGCGACAGCGUGGGGAGCAAACAGGAUUAGAUACCCUGGUAGUCCACGCCGUAAACGAUGGGUACUAGGCGUCGGGGGGAGCGACCCUCUCGGUGCCGUCGCUAACGCAAUAAGUACCCCGCCUGGGGAGUACGGUCGCAAGACUGAA
rnacentral:rRNA from 1 species